UAAGCAAUAUUUUUUUUGUUAACAGGAAGAUAAUAAAUAAUGAAGAAAAUUAUAUUAAUAAAAAUAAUUAUCAAAAUUUGAUGAAUUGCCAAUGCAUUAAGAAUAAAAUUCUUUAAAAUCAAGCUUUUCAGAAAAAACUUUGGAUUUCUAUCUUCUCUUUGUCUUGUGAGCACUAAGAGAGCAUUUUAAUCAAGCUCAUUGUUUCCCAGAAUAGUAGGCUAACACCUUAAAACACCUUAACCAUUCAGCCAUCAACAACAUUGGCAACAGCAUGGAGAAUGAUCUCAACAUUACCAGAAUUUCAGAUUGGAUUUAUCAUACCAAAGAAAAGAUUUCAUAUCUGUCACACUUUGUAACAAGAUUUUGAAAGUGGCAAUACAGGUAUACCUCGCCUUACGUCGGUAAUUGGUUCCAGGAAAACGACGUAAGUCGAAAAACGACGAGGAAAGCGUAAUAUUUCGCCUACCUUUACAAGACAUGGUCGAUAUUAUCGGUUCCGUGCACAGUUGUUACUUGGAAGAAUUCACAGUAGUUGCUGAAGAUGGGAGAUGCGGGGAAAAUGUAUUUGUAUAUAUAUAUAUAUAUUACGACGAACUUAUCGCAUUUAAAAUUCGGAAAGAAAUCAUACAU